rnacentral:rRNA from 1 species
CCUUCCACGGUCUCUGCGACGCAGCUAACGCAUUAAGUGCCCCGCCUGGGGAGUACGAUCGCAAGAUUAAAACUCAAAGGAAUUUGACGGGGCCCCGCACAAGCAGCGGAGCAUGCGGCUUAAUUCGACGCAACGCGAAGAACCUUACCAAGGCUUGACAUAUACAGGAAUAUGGCAGAGAUGUCAUAGCCGCAAGGUCUGUAUACAGGUGGUGCAUGGUUGUCGUCAGCUCGUGUCGUGAGAUGUUGGGUUAAGUCCCGCAACGAGCGCAACCCUCGUUCUGUGUUGCCAGCAUUUAGUUGGGGACUCACAGGAGACUGCCGGGGUUAACUCGGAGGAAGGUGGGGAUGACGUCAAAUCAUCAUGCCCCUUAUGUCUUGGGCUGCACGCAUGCUACAAUGGCUGGUACAAACGGCUGCAAUACCGCAAGGUGGAGCGAAUCCGAGAAAGCCAGUCUCAGUUCGGAUUGGGGUCUGCAACUCGACCCCAUGAAGUCGGAGUUGCUAGUAAUCGUAGAUCAGCAACGCUACGGUGAAUACGUUCCCGGGGCUUGUACACACCGCCCGUCACGUCACGAAAGUCGGUAACACCCGAAGUCAGUGGCCCAACC